GCUAUCCUGUGUACUGGGGUGUCCCACAGUUCUGUCUUUUAUGUGCUGCUUUUUUGUUCUCUCUCUCUCUCUCUCUCUCUCUCUCUCUCUCUCUCUCUCUUUCUGUGUGGAUGAUCAGAGUGAUUUUCAGUGGUAAGAAAAUGCAAUGUAGACGAGUUUGGUAAUGAGAGGCGGAAAUGGAUAAAAUAUCUUAGAAACUUACGCAACUCCAUACUUAGCAUUUGGGUGAUUCUCACAAACUCUCUGAGUUGUGGGAACAAAUCUUACCUCUGCUUCUGAAUUGGUUUUAAGCAGGGAGGGUAAGCAUUGGUUAAAAUGAAAGUCUCUUGGCAUUUAGGAGGCCAGCCUAUUAGAUUGUGCCAUUGGCUAAGGUACCUCUCAUUCUGCACGGGACGCCCUUACUCAACAAAAGCGGCAUGGGUGAAGCAGGCGUGGGGCUCCCUGAGGGGCUUACAGGCUGUACAAGAGCUUUUGGAAUUCUGUUUUUAUAGAAAACAGACCACUAAUCUCUAUAAAGCAUGGGCUUCGGAAUGGUUUAAUGUUCUUAGACAAUCUUGUUGACCUUUACAAAGUAUUUAGAUCAGCUCAAUAUAGCCUAGAUACAGAAGGCAGAAAAAGAGGCUUCAAGGCCUAGGAUGGGGACAAGGAGAGAAUCAGGUCUGGAAAAAGGGAAAUCAGAAGCUUGCUUUUCAACUUGUUCUAUUUGAUUUACAUCCUGAGGGGUAGCACCAGCAAGGAAAAGGUACAAACAUAGACAAGGCCUAAAUUUGAGUCUUAAAGCUUGCCUUUUGACACAUAAAUAUGUUCAAAGUCCAGAGACAGUGAAAUCACUGAGCACAUAGCAUGACUAUCGAAUUGUGGCCGAGGAAGCCAGCUCAGGGACCUGCAGGAAGUGGGAAUGGGGUAAAAAGAUCUGGGAGAGAAGCCAGCAGAGGCAGGGGGCAGGGGGAAGCUGUGAGGGUGCUCUGAGAGCCAGGAGCAGAGGUCACCUGCAGAGUGGUCCUGAGCAUGUAGGGAAGAGGAGCAAAGGUUGAACAAGGAGAGAACUGCCCGACAACAGAAGACACUGUGACCUUGAGAAGACCAGGUGGGGGGCAAGAGCAGAAGCUUGCCUGGAGAGAGCCAGGCACAAAUGAUGCAGGAGAAAGUGACCCUAGGUCGUAUUAGUCAGGGUCCCCAGAGUCUCAGAACUAACGGAACGUCUCUGUAUAUCCAGGGAAUUUAUUGUAAUGACUUACAGUCUGUAGUCCAACUAACCCAACAAUGGGCAGCUGGGAAUGAGAAGUCCCAUGAGGCUAGUUGUUUCAGCUGGUCUUCUGUAUAGACUGGAGUCCUGAAGAAAUGGGCUCCAAAAUGUAAGUGCAAGCAGGUGAAGAAGAGACUUCCUUCUAAUGUUCUCAUGCAGGUCUCCAGCAGAAGGUGUGGCCAGAUUAAAGGUGUGUACCACCACCCCUGGAUCUAGGACUUGCUUUGUCUCAGGCUGACCUUGAACUCAGAGAUCUGCUUGCCUCAGUCUCCUGGAAUUAAAGGCAUGUAGUACCUUGCCUGGGCCCAAGCUUUUCAUGGCUACUAUGCCUCAAGAUCUCCACAUCAAGAUCUGGGUCAGAAGCCUGUGUUUUCCAGCUUCAAAAUCUGGAUCACAGGUGGGCCCUCCAUUUCUGGAUUGUAGUUCAUUCCAAAUGCAGUCAAGUUGACAACCAGGAAUAGCCAUCACAUACGCAGUUAGCCACCCUGGGAAGCACAGUUUCCCUUUAUACUUGCUUUCUCCACGUAGAAUUCCUGCUGGCAGGGUGGGUAAUAGAAAGAUGGUGGGAGAUCACACGCCAGGUGUUCACUGUCGCUGUGAUAAGACACCACGACCAGGAGUGACUUACAGAAGGAAGAGUUGGCUUGGGAAAGUCCAUAGGGAGGCGUAGCAGCAGGUACCUGGGGCAGGGAGCUGAGAGAUCACACCUCUACCCCUAAACACUAAGCAGAGGGGGUAAUCUGAAAGUUGGCAUGAGACUGUAAACUUUCACAGUCCAAUCUUGGUGGCAUGCUUCCUCCAGCAAGGCUCUACCUCUGAAAGGCUCUGGGACUUCCACAAACAGCACCAUCAGGAGGCAUCCAAGUGAGUCAUUGGGGGACAGUGGUCUAAGGAAUAUGCUUAGAGAAGCUGUUGACUCCUGAAAGUGGAGUGCUUCGAAGAGAUAGGAACAGGGUAGUUCAUUUGGCCACAGUCUAGUGCCCACAGCCCCAUGCUGCCAUUUCAGUUGGACUGAUUUGUUUUAUGUGGCUUUGUGGUUACAGGUUGUAUCCUGGGAAGUGGGGCGUAGGGGUGGAGAGGGGAGGAGUCUGAGUCUUCAGCUUCAGAGGUGGUUUCUGUAGAGGAGGGUGUGGUAGGGAUCCCCUUCUGUAUCUCCCAGCUGAGGCCACCUGGGAUGCCAUAUGUCACUCGGGCACUCACAUCCCUGGAAGACUGGGCCCAUGUUCACCUGUCAAGCUUUCACUUGGGCUGUUUCAGAUGGAACUAGUGACCGCUGUGGUUGAGGAAGUCCUGGAACUGUUGCAGCACUCAGGGCGUCUCCACCAGCUCUCCAUUACUGAGAUCAAAGAAUCUCAGACAUCUGUAACAAAAAGAAUCAAUCUAAUCUCUGUUGUGUUUAAACGUGGCCUCGGGUCGGCUCCAUCCCUUCAUGCCAUCAAAACUUGACUAUGGAGACAGAAGAGUCCUUAUCAAUUUUAAUGAUGAAACUCAAACUCUUCUGUUCUCUGUGAUGAAAUAUUGCCACAGGCACUUGCUUUCAGUGCUUCACCAAUACACUGCAGUGUAUCAGGAUCCUGUUCCUCUAGAAAACUUUAUUACUGCUGCCCAGGUUGGGGGCAGCCAUGCUUGUCUGUCCUUAGCUCUAGAAGGAUGGGGUAGGUCGCUGUAGGCCAAAGGAGGGAGGGCUGAGCAAACUGGCAGGUUAACUGCAUCUCAUAAAGGCCCAUCGCAGAGAGGGUUUAUUCAGCUAUACAUUGCUGCUUCCCUACCCUAAACAAAUAGACUUCCCAGAAAGGUGAUCUCUCCCCCCCCACCCCCCUCCCUCUUCUCCCCCCCCCCCCGUGUGGGGGGGGGCACACGCACACGCGCAAGUAUUUAUUCAUCUGUCAGGACUUUAUGUUAAGAUAUUAAGAUAUAAAGAUCUAAAGAUAUCUGGACUAUGGUCCAGAUAGCAAAUGGUCCCUGUGGAAUUUCCAUUCCAUCAGGAAAAUAAAUAAUUACAAAUGGACUAAGCCUUUUAAGAAAGGGGGAGAGAGACAAUACUAUUUUUUCUUUCUUUUUAUCAUGCAGCUCUUCUUUUAAAAGAAAAUCAUAAUUUGGUGUCAAAAAAUCAGAUCUAAUUUGAUUUUUUUUUGGGGGGGGGAUCAUGACCUAAUUCCUCUUGAUCUAACUGGAGAUGGAUUCCCCAAGAAGGGCACACAUAUCAGUGGUAGUGUGUGCAGACCAGUUCCUGAGCUGUGCUCUGGGGGAGGGGUGUGAUGUGAAGAAGUGAUUCCAGGAAGCACACGGUGUAGGUGGAGGAGUGUUGUGCUGGUCACUGUCCCUGAAUUUCAGAUGUGCGGUGACAGUCACUGUUUGAGGUAAGGCGGUAAGCAGCUAGACAAGCCCUUGCUUUGAGAGAGGAGUCCAAUCAUCACGUUUUAAAGUAGCUACAGUGCUGAGCCAUUUUUACAUGGGAUUGCCCUAGAUGCGUGAUGGGUUGGGGGACGUUUUCUUUCCUUUUCUGGACAAGUGAGAAAGCCUGAAGUGUACCAGUGGCCAGUCACUAAUGAAGUAGCAUGGAGACAUGGGUGACAAGAUCCUCAGAGACAUCUUGUCCAAGCAAGGCAGCCUGUUGUGUCUGCGUCUGUCCUCUUCAGCACUGGUUUGCCUCUCGAUGAACCGUGCCUCUCAGAGGAUCUUCUCUGGAUCUGUUCAAUAUUGACCUACAAGAAUGCU
rnacentral:lncRNA from 1 species